rnacentral:rRNA from 1 species
UCCUACGGGAGGCAGCAGUGAGGAAUAUUGGUCAAUGGGCGAGAGCCUGAACCAGCCAAGUCGCGUGAGGGACGACGGUCCUAUGGAUUGUAAACCUCUUUUGUCGGGGAGCAACGAGACCACGCGUGGUCAAAGGGAGAGUACCCGAAGAAAAAGCAUCGGCUAACUCCGUGCCAGCAGCCGCGGUAAUACGGAGGAUGCGAGCGUUAUCCGGAUUUAUUGGGUUUAAAGGGUGCGUAGGCGGAAGUUUAAGUCAGUGGUUAAACUGCGGGGCUCAACCCCGUAUCGCCAUUGAAACUGGAUUUCUAGAGUGGGUGAGAAGUACGCGGAAUGCGUGGUGUAGCGGUGAAAUGCAUAGAUAUCACGCAGAACUCCGAUUGCGAAGGCAGCGUACCGGCGCCCAACUGACGCUGAAGCACGAAAGCGUGGGUAUCGAACAGGAUUAGAUACCCUGGUAGUCC